rnacentral:rRNA from 1 species
GAUGAACGCUGGCGGCGUGCCUAACACAUGCAAGUCGAGCGAACGGACGAGAAGCUUGCUUUUCUGAUGUUAGCGGCGGACGGGUGAGUAACACGUGUAUACCCUACCUAUAAUACUGGGAUAACUUCGGAAAACCGGAUCUAAUACCGGAUAAUAUUUUGAACCGCAUGGUUCAAAAGUGAAAGACGGUCUUGCUGUCACUUAUAGAUGGAUCCGCGCUGCAUUAGCUAGUUGGUAAGGUUAAGGCUUACCAAGGCAACGAUGCAUAGACGACCUGAGAGGGGGGUCGCCGACAUGGGAGGUGAAACAGGGACCAGACUCCUACGGGAGGCAGCAGUAGGGAAUCGUCCGCAAUGGGCGAAAGCCUGACGGAGCAACGGCGCGUGAGAGAUGAAGGUCUUGGGAUCGUAAAGCUCUGUUAUUAGUGAAGAACAUAUGUGUAAUUAACUGUGCACAUCUUGACGGUACCUAAUCAGAAAGCCACGGCUAACUACGUG